CUCCAAAAGAAAUUGCCUGUUUACCAGUAUUAGUUCGAACAUAUGGUUUAUACAUAUUUAAAUUAGAUGAGUAUCUGGUAUUAUAACUGUGAACAUCUCUUGAAUAUUGGAAGAAAUUAUCAAAAAUGUGUGGCAACAAACCAGGCUCAUCCAGGGCAUUUUUUAAGGAAUAAGAGACCGUUCAUUAUUUAUGACCGGGGGUGGGCUGGCAAAAUUCAAUUAACAACUAAACAAAAUGUCCUGCCCCCUGGAUCACAAAAAUAUUCAAUGACCCCCUUCACAUGAAUUCUAAAAAAAUAGUACCACCACCACCAUUGUAUACAUAGACAUAUGACCAGGCAUCAGAUCUAUUCUACAUUUACUUAUGCUUUCAACAUUGGCAACGAAAAUUUUUAUUGGCUAUUUCAAUCCUACUUGACAACCUAACUAUGAAAAUAUUAUCAUUUCCUUCUCGAACAUUUUACUCUAGGAGUAAAAUGCAUGCAAACUUUGUGUGUCGCCGCCAUCUUGGAAAAAAUGACCUUCGAAGGCAUAGAAUAAGUUCGAAGGUCAACGAAUUUUGUGACGUCAUUAGAUGGGUAGCACCAAAACUACAAGUGAGAAUGGGCUAUUCCAUUUAAUAUCCGUACCCCCCCUGUCGAGGAUCCCUGGAAUUCUUCAGGGGUAAAGGGUUUUGAGCUUGGAAUUCUUCAGGGGUAAAGUGUUUUGAGCUUGGAAUUCUUCAGGGGUAAAGUGUUUUGAGCUUGGAAUUCUUCAGGGGUAAAGGGUUUUGAGCUUGGAAUUCUUCAUGGGUAAAGAGUUUUGAGCUUGGAAUUCUUCAGGGGUAAGGAGGUUUGAUUUGAAAUUUUUCAGAGCUUGGAAUUCUUCAGGGGUAAAGGGUUUUCAGCUUGGAAUUCUUCAGGGGUAAAAGGUUUCGAGCUUGGAAUUUUUCAGGGGUAAAGGGUUUUGAGCUUGGAAUUCUUCAGGGGUAAAAGGUUUUGAGCUUGGAAUUCUUCAGGGGUAAAAGGUUUUGAGCUUGGAAUUUUGGAAUUCUUCAGGGGUAAAAGGUUUUGAGCUUGGAAUUCUUCAGGGGUAAAGGGUUUUGAGCUUGGAAUUUUGGAAUUCUUCAGGGGUAAAAGGUUUUGAGCUUGGAAUUCUUCAGGGGUAUAACCAUAAAAAACAUGUAUCCUCGACAGGGGGUGUACGGAUAUUAAAUGGAAUAGCCCAAUUCUAUUGCGUGCGUGUCGUGUUAGCCAAAAAUAUGUCGUUUUGAGCGUUAUACUGGCCAAUACGUUUCGCAAUCAAACAAGAGAAGCCUACACUAUCAGAUAAAAACAUAUCGAGCGACUGGGAAAGCAAGGAAUGGCGCAAUUUACAAUACAGGUAAUUGAUCAUAAAAUAUUGCAUUAGUGUUUGCCUUGUUUACACUCGAAUUACUGCGUUUAUUUAACACGGACUAGGACUGAUAUACUAUCAGAAAUAGUGUUACAAAUAAGGAACAUACUUGGUAAAACGUUUCUGCCCUUCGUUUAGGCUCAAAGUGCACUACGCGUGGUAAUGCGCCGAUCAAAACGAAGGUGUAACAUCCCCCCCCCCCCGGGCACGAGAGGGGCAUUUACCUUUCGUGAUUUUCCCUAGGGGCGGGCAUUUGUUGUCGGGAAGAUUUAAAGUGGUGGGGCAUUUGAUUCCACUUAUAAUGAGGACGGGAAUUUGACCGAUUUUAACAACUAAAAAAACUUUUAGAUCACCUAACAUGAAGCAUAGAUAGUCUUGCUUUCCGCUGACACAAGAAACCGCAGGCAUUUACGCAUCAAUCAAAAGCACAUUUUUUGCUUUUGUGUUUUCGCUUUUCGGAGUAUUCGGACUUUUCGAGUUUUUGAGAAAAUGGCGACAUUAAUAAGUGAGUUUCGUGGCCAAAAUAUAAGUUAUGUUGAAAAUUGGUUGUCCCA